UGGGGAAUCUUCCGCAAUGGACGAAAGUCUGACGGAGCAACGCCGCGUGAGUGAAGAAGGUUUUCGGAUCGUAAAACUCUGUCUUUUGGGGCGAACGUGAGUAUGGUGAACAAUCAUAGUCAGUGACGGUACCAAAGGAGGAAGCCACGGCUAACUACGUGCCAGCAGCCGCGGUAAUACGUAGGUGGCAAGCGUUGUCCGGAAUUAUUGGGCGUAAAGAGCGCGUAGGCGGGAUAGUCAGUCUGUUGUAAAGUGCGGGGCUCAACCCCGUGAUGGCAAUGGAAAGCAGCUAUUCUUGAGUGCAGGAGAGGAAAGUGGAAUUCCCAGUGUAGCGGUGAAAUGCGUAGAUAUUGGGAGGAACACCAGUGGCGAAGGCGACUUUCUGGACUGUGUCUGACGCUGAGGCGCGAAAGCCAGGGGGAGCGAACCGGGAUUAGAUACCCCGGUAGUCCUGGCCGUAAACGAUGGGUACUAGGUGUGGGAGGUAUCGACCCCCUUCCGUGCCGGAGUUAACGCAAUAAGUACCCCGCCUGGGGAGUACGGUCGCAAGACUGAAA
rnacentral:rRNA from 1 species